GUGGGGAAUCUUGCGCAAUGGGCGAAAGCCUGACGCAGCCAUGCCGCGUGAAUGAUGAAGGUCUUAGGAUUGUAAAAUUCUUUCACCGGGGACGAUAAUGACGGUACCCGGAGAAGAAGCCCCGGCUAACUUCGUGCCAGCAGCCGCGGUAAUACGAAGGGGGCUAGCGUUGCUCGGAAUUACUGGGCGUAAAGGGAGCGUAGGCGGACAUUUAAGUCAGGGGUGAAAUCCCGGGGCUCAACCUCGGAAUUGCCUUUGAUACUGGGUGUCUUGAGUGUGAGAGAGGUAUGUGGAACUCCGAGUGUAGAGGUGAAAUUCGUAGAUAUUCGGAAGAACACCAGUGGCGAAGGCGACAUACUGGCUCAUUACUGACGCUGAGGCUCGAAAGCGUGGGGAGCAAACAGGAUUAGAAACCCGUGUAGUCC
rnacentral:rRNA from 1 species